GAUGAACGCUGGCGGCGUGCCUAAUACAUGCAAGUCGAGCGAACAGACGAGGAGCUUGCUCCUCUGACGUUAGCGGCGGACGGGUGAGUAACACGUGGAUAACCUACCUAUAAGACUGGGAUAACUUCGGGAAACCGGAGCUAAUACCGGAUAAUAUAUUGAACCGCAUGGUUCAAUAGUGAAAGACGGUUUUGCUGUCACUUAUAGAUGGAUCCGCGCCGCAUUAGCUAGUUGGUAAGGUAACGGCUUACCAAGGCAACGAUGCGUAGCCGACCUGAGAGGGGGGUCGGCCACACUGGAAGCGAGACACGGUCCAGACUCCUACGGGAGGCAGCAGUAGGGAAUCUUCCGCAAUGGGCGAAAGCCUGACGGAGCAACGCCGCGUGAGUGAUGAAGGUCUUCGGAUCGUAAAACUCUGUUAUUAGGGAAGAACAAAUGUGUAAGUAACUAUGCACGUCUUGACGGUACCUAAUCAGAAAGCCACGGCUAACUACGUG
rnacentral:rRNA from 1 species